UACGGGGGGGGCAAGCGUUGUUCGGAAUUACUGGGCGUAAAGGGCUCGUAGGCGGCCAACUAAGUCAGACGUGAAAUCCCUCGGCUUAACCGGGGAACUGCGUCUGAUACUGGAUGGCUUGAGGUUGGGAGAGGGAUGCGGAAUUCCAGGUGUAGCGGUGAAAUGCGUAGAUAUUCGCAAGAACACCAGUGGCGAAGGCGGCUCACUGGCCCGAUACUGACGCUGAGGCACGGAAGCGUGGGGAGCAAACAGG
rnacentral:rRNA from 1 species